rnacentral:rRNA from 1 species
UACGUAGGGGGCAAGCGUUGUCCGGAUUUAUUGGGCGUAAAGAGCUCGUAGGCGGUUUGGUAAGUCUGGUGUGAAAUCUCCACGCUCAACGUGGAGGGGCCACCCGAUACUGCCAUGACUGGAGUCCGGUAGAGGAGUGUGGAAUUCCCGGUGUAGCGGUGAAAUGCGCAGAUAUCGGGAAGAACACCCGUGGCGAAGGCGGCUCUCUGGGACGGUACUGACGCUGAGACGCGAAAGCGUGGGGAGCGAACAGG